UACGAGAGGCCCAAACAUUAUUCGGAAUUACUGGGCUUAAAGAGUUCGUAGGCGGCAUGGUAAGUAGGGUGUGAAAUCCCUCGGCUCAACCGAGGAAUUGCGCUCUAAACUACCGUGCUCGAGGAAGCUAGAGGUGAGCGGAACUGAUGGUGGGGCGGUGAAAUGCGUUGAUAUCAUCAGGAACACCGGAGGCGAAGGCGGCUCACUGGGGCUUUUCUGACGCUGAGGAACGAAAGCCAGGGUAGCGAACGGG
rnacentral:rRNA from 1 species